GAUGAACGCUAGCUACAGGCUUAACACAUGCAAGUCGAGGGGAAACGACAUCGAAAGCUUGCUUUUGAUGGGCGUCGACCGGCGCACGGGUGAGUAACGCGUAUCCAACCUGCCCACCACUUGGGGACUAACCUUGCGAAAGUAAGACUAAUACCCAAUGAUAUCCCACGAAGGCAUCCGAAUGGGAUUAAAGAUUUUGCGGACAUGGAUGGGGAUGCGUCCGAUUAGCUGGUUGGCGGGGUAACGGCCCACCAAGGCGACGAUCGGUAGGGGUUCUGAGAGGAAGGUCCCCCCACAUUGGAACUGGAGACACGGUCCAAACUCCUACGGGAGGCAGCAGUGAGGAAUAUUGGUCAAUGGACGCAAGUCUGAACC
rnacentral:rRNA from 1 species